GGAGCAGCAGGGAGCUGGUAGUACCAAACGCCUCGAUUUUCUGGGUCUGGGGACGGGGGUCUGUGUAUUAUGCCAGGGCUUGUCUAUCAUGGUCCGGAGAGGUGGGGGCAGCAUCUGGGCCCCCUUGCUCAGUCAGGCUCCUUGCCUUUCCCAUGGUCCUUGCCCCCUCAGCAGGAGUGAACUCAUGAUGAUCCAACCCGGAUCUGGGCCCUGACCUCCCAGCGCUCCUCUUAAACCUCGGGGCUGCAAGGAUUUGCUAGAUUCUAGACCAGGGUUUCCCCAGUAUCAGCACUGUUGACAUUUGGGGCUGUUUAUUCACUAUUGUGUGAGACCAUCCAGUGCUCUGUAGGAUGUUGAGCAAUAUCCCUGGCCUCCACCUGCUAGAUGCCAGGAGCACCUCCUCCUCCCCAGUCUUGAUAAUAAAAAAAAGUCUCCAGAUUUCAGUGUGCCCAGGAGGGGAAGACCAUCCCUAGUGAGGAGCACUGUGUCAAGGGAAAGCCCCGAUCCACAUAGCUGCCACGGAGACUCCUGCUGGCAGGACUUUUAACAAAGGGUUCCCAGGACGGUCCUGGUUCUAGAGUGAAACCCUGCUGCUCCUC
rnacentral:lncRNA from 10 species